rnacentral:misc_RNA from 1 species
CUCACUCUCGGUGGACGAAUUUGCCUGCCGGAUGAUGAAGGUUGCUGACGCUUCAGCUCCUUUGAAAUGCAUGAGCAGAGAAACGAGCUUUGUCAGCUUCGGUUUGAUAUGUUUCUGGACCGUUGCUGAUGUCGUCCCUGCUGCUGCUUGUCUCUCUCUACCAGAGACUGUCUGCAUUGUGCGGGCAACAAAGUUUUCAA